UAGAAUUCAAAACUCUUAUUUCAGUUCAGUUAAGAGAAACAGUUUUACAAAGCGAGAUUUCUUUCGUUACAAAUUUGGUUCAGCAUAAGCCAAGUGAAGCAGAGUCUGGGUUCUCACAACAUGAAGACCUCAACAAAUUUAUGGAAAGCCCUGAUAAAGCAGAAUAGGUACUAUAGUGCAGCUCCAGCUCAAUGAUCGUCAAAUCCAG
rnacentral:lncRNA from 1 species